rnacentral:rRNA from 1 species
ACUCCUACGGGAGGCAGCAGUCUAGAAAUUUGGGCAAUGGGCGAAAGCCUGACCCAGCGACACCGCGUGGAGGAUGAAGUCUUUCGGGAUGUAAACUCCUGACAGGCGGAGCGAUGCCGUUUCGGAGUAACUGCCGCGACGGUGACGGUACUGCCAAAGGAAGCCCCGGCUAACUACGUGCCAGCAGCCGCGGUAAUACGUAGGGGGCAAGCGCUGUCCGGAUUUACUGGGCGUAAAGGGUGUGCAGGCGGACUGGCGUGUCGAUGGUGAAAGCUCCCGGCUUAACCGGGAAAGCGCUGUCGAAACUACCAGCCUUGAGGACGGAAGAGGAAACUGGAACUUCUGGUGUAGCGGUAAAAUGCGUAGAUAUCAGAAGGAACGCCGAUAGCGAAGGCAGGUUUCUGGGACGUUCCUGACGCUGAAACACGAAAGCUAGGGGAGCAAACAGGAUUAGAUACCCUGGUAGUCCUAGCUGUAAACGAUGUACAUUAGGCGUGGGGAUUUUCCCCGUGCCGGAGCCAACGCGUUAAAUGU